UCCGGUGGCGAUGCGCCUGGGGGUCACACCCGUUCCCAUCCCGAACACGAUGGUUAAGACCCAGGCGGCCGAUGGUACUUUGCUGGAGACGGCACGGAAGAGCAGGUGGCUGCCGGAA
rnacentral:rRNA from 1 species